AACGCGAAGAACCUUACCAAGGCUUGACAUCCCAGGAAUCCGCUAGAAAUAGUGGAGUGCCUUCGGGAAUCUGGUGACAGGUGCUGCAUGGCCGUCGUCAGCUCGUGUCGUGAGAUGUUGGGUUAAGUCCCGCAACGAGCGCAACCCUUGUCGUAUGUUGUAUUUUUCAUACGAGACUGCCCGGGCCAACCGGGAGGAAGGUGAGGAUGACGUCAGGUCAGCAUGGCCCUUACGCCUUGGGCUACACACGUCAUACAAUGGCCGGUACAACGCGUUGCCAACCCGCGAGGGGGAGCUAAUCGCACCAAAACCGGUCCCAGUUCGGAUUGGAGGCUGCAACUCGCCUCCAUGAAGUUGGAUUUGCUAGUAACCGUGGGUCAGCAUACCGCGGUGAAUACGUUCCCGGGCCUUGUACACACCGGCUAC
rnacentral:rRNA from 1 species